GACGAACGCUGGCGGCGUGCUUAACACAUGCAAGUCGAACGGUAAGGCCCUUCGGGGUACACGAGUGGCGAACGGGUGAGUAACACGUGGGUGAUCUGCCCUGCACUUCGGGAUAAGCCUGGGAAACUGGGUCUAAUACCGGAUAGGACCACUGCCUGCAUGGGUGGUGGUGGAAAGCUUUUGCGGUGUGGGAUGGGCCCGCGGCCUAUCAGCUUGUUGGAGGGGUGAUGGCCUACCAAGGCGACGACGGGUAGCCGGCCUGAGAGGGUGACCGGCCACACUGGGACUGAGAUACGGCCCAGACUCCUACGGGAGGCAGCAGUGGGGAAUAUUGCACAAUGGGCGCAAGCCUGAUGCAGCGACGCCGCGUGAGGGAUGACGGCCUUCGGGUUGUAAACCUCUUUCAGCACCGACGAAGCGCAAGUGACGGUAGGUGCAGAAGAAGGACCGGCCAACUACGUGCCAGCAGCCGCCGCGG
rnacentral:rRNA from 1 species